rnacentral:rRNA from 1 species
AGUGAACGCUGGCGGUAGGCCUAACACAUGCAAGUCGAACGGCAGCACAGUAAGAGCUUGCUCUUACGGGUGGCGAGUGGCGGACGGGUGAGGAAUACAUCGGAAUCUACUUUUUCGUGGGGGAUAACGUAGGGAAACUUACGCUAAUACCGCAUACGACCUACGGGUGAAAGCAGGGGAUCUUCGGACCUUGCGCGAUUGAAUGAGCCGAUGUCGGAUUAGCUAGUUGGCGGGGUAAAGGCCCACCAAGGCGACGAUCCGUAGCUGGUCUGAGAGGAUGAUCAGCCACACGGGAACUGAGACACGGUCCAGACUCCUACGGGAGGCAGCAGUGGGGAAUAUUGGACAAUGGGCGCAAGCCUGAUCCAGCCAUACCGCGUGGGUGAAGAAGGACUUCGGGUUGUAAAGCCCCUUUGUUGGGAAAGAAAAGCAGCAGGUUAAUACCCCGCUGUUCUGACGGUACCCAAAGAAUAAGCACCGGCUAACUUCGUG